UGUUGCGCGGGGUGUAGUUCAAAAAGACGAAGCCGCGCGUCUGAUCGAUGAUGUGGAACAGCGGAUUCCACCAGAACAUCGCCAGCAUCGUGCUGGACAAAGUAUUGGCAAGGAACAUCUUGCCGGAAAACAGCA
rnacentral:ncRNA from 1 species